CCGGCUCCUUGAUUUUGGACUGCCAGCCUCCAGAGCGGAGGGGACCUGGUGCCCCCACCAUCCCCCCUUCACAGUUGGAGCAUCAGUGGACACUCAGAGCAGACAGCGGAGCACAGGGACUCAGGCACUCACCAGCUCAGCUCCAAAGGUCUCCAGGCACAAGGAUAAUGGAAGCCAACCCUGAGGGAAACGUCUUUGAAAAAGUUGCCUGCUGUUCAUGUCUCCAGUUCUUAUCCUGCCUCAACCCACAGCAUCCUGGCAUCAGCCUCUACCAAGACGAGAAAACAAUGUUGACCAAGGUCACUGAUGAUGUCCAUACUAUGAAAGCCAGUGGAUGUGGCCCUUUCCUCUAU
rnacentral:lncRNA from 1 species